AUGCUUCUGGACCUUGUGAGAUUCCUGCAGUGGCAGGUCAGUUUAACUGUGCCCACACAACAACCCAAAGUGACUCAGCAAUGCCUCCGCACCGGUGAGGCCAGAGGAGGACACCCCCCAGCGCCAUCCCCUGGGGAGGCCACCACAGGAAAUCAAACCUUCACCCACUGCAGGAACUCCUCAAUAUUUCUGCAGCACAGUCCUGGGGGCCAAGCCGUGCCUUGUUCGUCUCUCCGGGCAUCGCACUGGGGAUCAGGGGGACCAACACAUCCUCUGGGGUCUGGGUCUGCAUGUUCUACAGCUCACCGUGAAUCGUGGCCACCGUAUCCUGAGCUGCUUCCUGCCUGGUUCAUUGCCAUCACCACCAUCAUGUUCCUCCCCCAAACCUGUCUUUCUCUUGCUUCUUUGCACAUAUCUUCAUGUCAGGUCUUUGGCUUGGAAAUGACUUCUCCUGUGAGCCAAACCUUCUUAUUCUACACUUUAAAAUCCUUAUGA
rnacentral:lncRNA from 1 species